ACUCACCUCUGGAACUUGCAAUUUCUGCCCAACUUAGUUCCUCACUUUCUUCCCUAAGCCUUUUGGAUCUUCCCUUUCCACAGAAGAGCCUUUAGACCUCUCUAAACCUACAGAGGGACCUUUAACUUCAUUCCAGGGACCAAAUGAGUCUUUGAAUUCUCUACAAGGGGUUCAACAAACAGAUCCAUCUACUUCAGAUCCUUCAGGAUCUAUGCAUUCUUCCAAAGGACCCAUGGUAAUUUCUUUAUCUGAUCGAGGAACACUAGGAUCUAUAUCAUCUGCCCUAGAGCCUUUGACAUUGUCCCUAUCUGCUCAAGGGAAUCCAGGACAUUUGUUAUCUGUUCAAGAAGCUGGAGGCCCUUGGCUGUCUUUAUAGGGGAACCUGGAAGGUUGUACCUGUACACAUGGCAAUCCAGGAAUAUCCAAUGCUUCAUCACGAGCUUUGGAAAUUUCAGCAUCUACCAUAGUGAGUCCAGGACCUUCUCCAUCUGUCCAAUUGGAUUUGAAAGAGUAACAUUCUGUCUUAAUGUCUUGGAGACCUUCCAUGUCUGCCCAAGGUGUACUAGAAACAUCAAUAUCUUCCCAAGGGCUUACAGAAACUUCCUUGUUACCUCAAGAGCCUCCAGGACACUGGUUGGAAAAGGAGGCUUUAGGAUAUUUACCAUCCAAUCCUGAAGAUCUUGGACUUUCUGAUUCUUCCCAGGACACACUAGAAAUAUGGGCAUGUAUGCAAAAUAGUACAGAAAUACCAUCUUUCACCCAAGAGGUCAUAGAAUCUUUGUCAGCCACACAAGAUUCUCCCAAAUUACCAGUUCCUUCACCACUUAGUCCAGAGACAGAAGAACCUCUGACAUAUACACAAUCCAUUUCUAAGAGUUCAAAAUCUGUGCCAGGGACUCCAGAAGCUUUGGCAUCUGUGUUAGGGUCUCUGUGUCUUUUGAAACCCAAUGAAGGUGCUCUGGGCCCUUUAGUAUCUGAACAAGGGAUCCUGAGAACACCAGCAUUUCCCCAGGAAAGUCUAGAACUUUCUCAACCUGCCCAGGGGCCUCUAAAACCUGUGACAUCUCACCAAGAAACCGAGGAUACUUCCUUUUCAACAGAGUUUCAGGGACUGUCCCUUUGUGCAGAAGGGGACAUUAUGCCUACCCCUCCUCAUGAAGAUGGAUGGAGAAAUUUCUCUUAUCUCAAAAAGAACCCUAGACGUUUGAAAUCUAACCAAAGGAUAUUGAAACAUGUCCCAAUUCCUGAAAGGGAUAUCAGAUACUGCCUUUCAGAACUUGAUGCCUUAAAAUGUAUCUCUUCUGCCGUAAGUAGCCUCACAUCUUCCAAGUAUGCAGAAAAGGAAUCCAGUCCUACCUCUACUCCUCAAAGGAGCAUCUCCCCCUUAAAAUCAUCUCAAUUGAGUUUCAGAUCUAGUAUUCUUUGUAAAAAAGGUCUCAGUCAUUCUCCUCCUCCAGGAGAUUGCCCCACACCUUCUAAAUUGAGGAAAACAAGACCAAGCCCUUCCUCUGUAGAUCAAGAGGGCCUGAAAUAUGUGCGCUCAAAACAUGCGGGUUGGAAACACUGCCAUUCUUCCAAAAUUUGGGUAAGAGUUUGCAAAUUUAAGAAAGAGUUGUAAAGCUUAAAACUAUGACUAACAAACUUUGCCACAUCUGAUUCUGCUAAAGGAGCCUGCAGAUGCUCACCAUCUCAUGAGGUGGGCCUCAGAAGUCCCCUACCAAGCCAAGGCAUUCACAGACCAUCUAAGUAUACUGAAACCCCAUCAGAAAAAGCCCCUUCAGACCAAUGGGACACCAAAGCUUCCAAUUCAGAGCAUAAGGUUGACAAGCCAUCCUCCAUCCUUACAGAAGAAUGCAUGCGAACCACUCUUUCUCAUGAAGACAGCCUCAGGCAUCCCACCUUCCUCAUGAGAUUCCCAGACACGCUACUUCUACCAAGAGAAAACAGAGGAAAGCCUCUGUUACCCAAAAAGCCCUGCAAGCUUCCCCUACAGAUCAAGAAUGCAUUGAUUCAUUUCCAGAUGGAGACAGUCCCCAUAGAGGUGUGCAACACUCAUCAUCACCCCAAGAGGAUAUCAGCCAUUCUUUUUCUACUAAGGAGGACUCAAAACAUAUUCCUAAUGUCCAAGAGGGAGAGAAAACUUCCAGAAUUGCCAAACGGGAGCCCAUAGCUUUUGUGCCUAUCCUAUGGGCAUUCAUACCACCAAAAGGGAGUACCACAUUCCCUUUUGGAACAUUCCCUGUUAUGCGAAGAUAUGACAAACAUACAAUAUCUCAAGCAGAGGAUGUGGUACCUGCUCUCUCCUGUCCUCGGAGAGACCCAUCAUUACAAUAUAAAUUUGGGUUCCCCCUUUGUGACCAUUCUGUCCUAGGAGGCCACAAAUAUACACAUCAUUUGAAAAUCAAUCUCAACAGAAUCGCACUGCAAAAGGGGAGUUGUAGUUCUUUCCUCUUCCCUAAAGGAGGUGUCGGACCUUCUCAAUCAGACCAAUGUGGACUCAGACUUUCCAGUUCUCACCAAAGGGACUCUGGCUUUGUGAUCCCUGUUUCAGAAAGGCUCAGAAUGCUUCAGGCUGAAAUAGGUGGCCCCUCAAAUGCUCCAUCUAAGAAACUGGGCCUCACCGGUGCUUUUUAUGACAAAAGAGAUAUAGAAAAUGUUCUAGGAGGCUUACGACUUACUCCUUGCUUCUGACUUCCUCCUUCUGCCCAGGGACACACCAGAGCUUCCCAGCCUGCCAAACGGAACCUGUAAGGCAGUCCAUCUCAAGAGGGUGGCCUGGGCCCUACUCUCUCUUACUCUGGCAUUUUCAGUUCUUUUUUGAUACAGAAGCUGCCCUCAUAUUUUCCCUUUCUAUGCCCCUUAUGAACAACAUGAAUUUAGAACUUUUUCUUUUC
rnacentral:lncRNA from 1 species